CUACGUGUUGUUAUAAGGAAGCGUCGAGAAUAGAGAGAUGGGAAGGUGCAGGAAUGGAGAAAAGAGAUUGAAACCCUAAUCUGGGCAGGAAGAUGAUGAGGAUGCGGAACCUGGGAUCUGUGUGUGCGAAGCUUGGACGCAGUGGGACGAUGAUGAUGAACACGGAGGAAGAUUGAAUCAUUAUUAUUUUUUUUUAGCAGCGAAGGAGGAGAUGCGACAGCACUGGAGGAGAUUUCGAAGGGGGAUUGCGAGGCGCUCUCGGGACUGGAUGGAGAACUUUAGCCAGAUGCUC